UCAUCCCCAUUUGACAGAUGAGGGAACUGAGGCACGGAGGAGUGAAGUGACUUGCCCACAGUCACACAGCUGCUGACAAGGGGCAGAGCUGGGAUUUGAACCCAUGACCUCUGACUCCCAAGCCCGGGCUCUUUCCACUGAGCCACGCAACGGAGUCGAUAGACACGUUCCCUGCCCACAGCGAGUCUGUAAUAAUGUUGGUAUUUGUUAAGCGCUUACUCUGUGCAGAGCACUGUUCUAAGCGCUGGGAUUGAUACAGGGUCAUCAGAUUGUCCCUCGUGAGGCUCACAGUCUUCAUCCCCAUUUGACAGAUGAGGGAACUGAGGCACGGAGAAGUGAAGUGACUUGCCCACAGUCACACAGCUGACAAGUGGCCGAGCCGGGGUUCGAACCCGUGACCGCUGACUCCCAAGCCCGGGCUCUUUCCACUGAGCCACGCUGCUUCUACCGUGAGCCCUUGAUGACCUUAUAUUCCUCCCCCUCCAGCGCUUAGAACGGUGCUUGGCACAGAGUAAGCGCUUAACAAAUACCACCGUUAUUAUUAUUAGGAGGAGGAGGAGGGCCCGGGUUUUUUUAGGAGGGAUUUGAACGUAGGGAGGGGAGGAGGGCCUUGCUGGGGAGGUGGGACGACCUUGGGCUGCAAGGUGGGUUUGGGAGCAGCCGAGACGCCCCGGGAAACCUCGUGGAGAGAGCGGAAGGGGAAAGACGGGGCUGAUGAAGAAGCUGGGACACUCUGUUGGAUGCGGAGACACCCCAGAAGCCGGCGGAAGCUUUUAAGGGGAGGAGAGUUCAGGAGUUAAAGCGCUCUCCGAUUUCCAUUUUGAUUUUUCGCUACUUGCCCGGCGUAGAUACAAGCUAAGGGGGCUUGGACGCUGUUCCGCAUCCCACGUGGCGCUCACGGUAUUUAUCCCCCAUUUUGCAGAUGAGGCCCCCGAGAGGCGAAGCGACUUCCCCGAGGUCACACGGACGGGUGGCGGAAGCCGGGAUUGGAACCCAGGUCCUCCAGAGCCCCGGGCCUGCGCUUGGACGAUGGGUUGACGGAGCGACGCUUCGGGAAAUCGAUCGGUGCGGCGGCAGCACCUGGGUCUUCCCCCUCCUGCCCCAGAGAGCCAGUUAAAGGCGGCGUGAGGAGCCAGAACUCCCGGGUCCCUCUCACCGGACUGGUCGCCGCCUCCUCAGGAGACGUCCAGUCGGCCUGACCCGUGGCCCCAGGAUCUCCGGUGAGCACGUGGGGUGGUGUGUGGCGGUGGGCUGUGGGGGCUCCUCAUCGGGAGCUGGGCGUGACCUGGCAUGAUGUCGGGUACAUGCCUGCAGAGAUGACACACCA
rnacentral:lncRNA from 1 species